AUGAACCAAUCCUCCAAGAACCGGUGCUUCAGACGGUUGUUCCUGAAACCUCUACUACUGAACCGCCACCCGAGCCAGCACAAAAGCCGCCGAAGUCGGCUACUGAUCCUCCUGCAGAACAAACACUUGACGGAUCUGACAAUCCGGAAGUCUCAAGCCCAGCUAAAACAAGCGACCCUCAAGAAGCUGAAAUUGAGAUUACCAAGACCAGCUACACUGAGCCGGGACGGCCUACUGUGCUUGCCAAAUGCACUGCCAAAGAUGAACUCCUGGAGCGCCGUAGGGUCAAAUUUGACCUUACAGAUUACUCUUAGAUGA
rnacentral:rRNA from 1 species